GAUGAAGAACGCAGCAAAAUGCGAUAAGUAAUGUGAAUUGCAGAAUUCAGUGAAUCAUCGAAUCUUUGAACGCACAUUGCGCCCGCCAGUAUUCUGGCGGGCAUGCCUGUUCGAGCGUCAUUUCAACCCUCAAGCCCUCGGGUUUGGUGUUGGGGAUCGGCGAGCCUUUCUGGCAAGCCGGCCCCGAAAUCUAGUGGCGGUCUCGCCGCAGCCUCCAUUGCGUAGUAGUAAAACCCUCGCAACUGGAACGCGGCGCGGCCAAGCCGUUAAACCCCCAACUUCUGAAUGUUGACCUCGGAUCAGGUAGGAAUACCCGCUGAACUUAAGCAUAUCAAUAAGCGGAGGA
rnacentral:misc_RNA from 1 species